rnacentral:piRNA from 1 species
GUCUGGAGUAGGGUGGCAUGAUCUUGA